rnacentral:rRNA from 1 species
UCGAGGGGCAGCAUGAACUUAGCUUGCUAAGCUUUGAUGGCGACCGGCGCACGGGCUGAGUAACACGAUAUCCAACCUGCCGAUGACUCGGGGAUAGCCUUUCGAAAGAAAGAUUAAUACCCGAUGGCAUAGUUCUUCCGCAUGGCAGAACUAUUAAAGAAUUUCGGUCAUCGAUGGGGAUGCGUUCCAUUAGGUUGUUGGCGGGGUAACGGCCCACCAAGCCUUCGAUGGAUAGGGGUUCUGAGAGGAAGGUCCCCCACAUUGGAACUGAGACACGGUCCAAACUCAUACGGGAGGCAGCAGUGAGGAAUAUUGGUCAAUGGACGAGAGUCUGAACCAGCCAAGUAGCGUGAAGGAUGACUGCCCUAUGGGUUGUAAACUUCUUUUAUACGGGAAUAAAGUGAGGNCACGUGUGCCUUUUUUGUAUGUACCCGUAUGAAUAAAGGAUUCGGCUAAAUUCCGUGCCAGCAGCCGCGGUAAUACGGAGGAUUCCGAGCGUUAUCCGGAUUUAUUGGGUUUAAAAGGGAGCGUAGGCGGACGCUUAAGUCAGUUGUGAAAGUUUGCGGCUCAACCGUAAAAAUUGCAGUUGAUACUGGGUGUCUUGAGUACAGUAGAGGCAGGCGGAAUUCGUGGUGUAGCGGUGAAAUGCUUAGAUAUCACGAAGAACUCCGAUUGCGAAGGCAGCUUGCUGGACUGUAACUGACGCUGAUGCUCGAAAGUGUGGGUAUCAAACAGGAUUAGAUACCCUGGUAGUCCACACAGUAAACGAUGAAUACUCGCUGUUUGCGAUAUACAGUAAGCGGCCAAGCGAAAGCGUUAAGUAUUCCACCUGGGGAGUACGCCGGCAACGGUGAAAACUCAAAGGAAUUGACGGGGGCCCGCACAAGCGGAGGAACAUGUGGUUUNAAUUCGAAUGAUACCGCGAGGAACCUUACCCGGGCUUGAAUUGCAACUGAAUGAUGUGGAGACAUGUCAGCCGCAAGGCAGUUGUGAAGGUGCUGCAUGGUUGUCGUCAGCUCGUGCCGUGAGGUGUCGGCUUAAGUGCCAUAACGAGCGCAACCCUUAUCGAUAGUUACCAUCAGGUUAUGCUGGGGACUCUGUCGAGACUGCCGUCGUAAGAUGUGAGGAAGGUGGGGAUGACGUCAAAUCAGCACGGCCCUUACGUCCGGGGCUACACACGUGUUACAAUGGGGGGUACAGAAGGCAGCUACACGGCGACGUGAUGCUAAUCCCUAAAGCCUCUCUCAGUUCGGAUUGGAGUCUGCAACCCGACUCCAUGAAGCUGGAUUCGCUAGUAAUCGCGCAUCAGCCACGGCGCGGUGAAUACGUUCCCGGGCCUUGUACACACCGCCCGUCAAGCCAUGAAAGCCGGGGGUACCUGAAGUGCGUAACCGCAAGAG